rnacentral:rRNA from 1 species
CCUACGGGGAGCAGCAGUAGGGAAUUUUCGUCAAUGGGCGCAAGCCUGAACGAGCAAUGCCGCGUGAACGAGGAAGGUCUUCGGAUCGUAAAGUUCUGUUGAAGGGGAAAAAGAGCGGAGAGAGGAAAUGCUUUCUGAUUGAUAUUACCCUUCGAGGAAGUCACGGCUAACUACGUGCCAGCAGCCGCGGUAAUACGUAGGUGGCGAGCGUUAUCCGGAAUGAUUGGGCGUAAAGGGUGCGUAGGCGGCCUGCUAAGUCUGGAGUGAAAGGUACCGGCUAAAGCGGUACAGGCUCUGGAAACUGGCGGGCUAGAGAGCAGGAGAGGGGGGUGGAACGCCAUGGGUAGCGGUAAAAGGCGUAGAUAUAUGGAAGAACACCAGUGGCGAAGGGGGCCGCGUGGCCUGUUACUGACGCGGAGGCACGAAAGCGUGGGGGGAAAAGAGGAUUAGAUACCCCUGGAGUC